rnacentral:rRNA from 1 species
UUUAAGCGAGGAGGAGGCUACUCUAGUUAAUACCUGGGGAUAGUGGACGUUACUCGCAGAAUAAGCACCGGCUAACUCUGUGCCAGCAGCCGCGGUAAUACAGAGGGUGCGAGCGUUAAUCGGAUUUACUGGGCGUAAAGCGUGCGUAGGCGGCUUUUUAAGUCGGAUGUGAAAUCCCUGAGCUUAACUUAGGAAUUGCAUUCGAUACUGGGAAGCUAGAGUAUGGGAGAGGAUGGUAGAAUAAGGGCGAAUUCGUUUAAACCUGCAGGACUAG